GACGAAUGCUGGCGGUGUGCUUAACACAUGCAAGUCGAACGGUAAGGCCCUUUCGGGGGUACACGAGUGGCGAACGGGUGAGUAACACGUGAGUAACCUGCCCUCAUCUCUGGGAUAACAGUCGGAAACGGUUGCUAAUACUGGAUAUGAGCUUGCAAGGCAUCUUGUGGGUUGGAAAGAUUUUUUUGGUUGGGGAUGGACUCGCGGCCUAUCAGCUUGUUGGUGAGGUAGUGGCUCACCAAGGCUUCGACGGGUAGCCGGCCUGAGAGGGCGACCGGCCACAUUGGGACUGAGAUACGGCCCAAACUCCUACGGGAGGCAGCAGUGGGGAAUAUUGCACAAUGGACGGAAGUCUGAUGCAGCAACGCCGCGUGCGGGAUGACGGCCUUCGGGUUGUAAACCGCUUUCAAUUGUGACGAAGCUUUUUGUGACGGUAGCAGUAGAAGAAGCACCGGCUAACUACGUG
rnacentral:rRNA from 1 species